CCGUCCGAUUUGUGAAGUUAAGCGGCCACAGGCCUCGUUAGUACGGCGAUCAGUGAUGGCGCUGGAACCCGGGGUGCCGUACCCCU
rnacentral:rRNA from 1 species